AGGGUGCAGGGCGGAUGCCUUGGCACUAGGAGCCGAUGAAGGACGUGAUAAGCUGCGAUAAGCUUCGGGGAGUUGCACGUAAACUUUGAUCCGAAGAUUUCCGAAUGAGGAAACUCACUUAGAGUAAUGUCUAAGUAUCAUUAAGUGAAUACAUAGCUUAAUGAGGGGAACUCAGGGAACUGAAACAUCUAAGUACCUGAAGGAAGAGAAAGAAAUUCGAUUCCGUAAGUAGCGGCGAGCGAACGCGGAUUAGCCCAAACCAAUAAAGUUUUCUUUAUUGGGGUUGCGGACAUAUCAUAACGAAGAGGUAUCGUAAUUGAAGAGGUUUGGAAAGACCCACCACAGAAGGUAAUAGUCCUGUAUGUUAAACGAGAAGACUUUAGAUAUGAUCCAGAGUACCACGGGACACGUGAAACCCUGUGGGAAGCAGGAGGGACCACCCUCCAAGGCUAAAUACUACCUAGUGACCGAUAGCGUAUAGUACCGUGAGGGAAAGGUGAAAAGAACCCCGGGAGGGGAGUGAAAUAGAACCUGAAACCCUGCACUUACAAGCUGUGGAAGCACAUUUCUUGUGUGACCGCGUACUUUUUGUAGAACGGGCCAACGAGUUACGUUAAGUAGCAAGGUUAAGCACUUAAGGUGUGGAGCCGUAGCGAAAGCGAGUUUUAACUGAGCGUUCAGUUACUUGACGUAGACCCGAAACCGGGCGACCUACCCAUGAGCAGGAUGAAGCGAAAGUAAAAUUUCGUGGAGGUCCGAACCCACGAGCGUUGAAAAGCUCGGGGAUGACUUGUGGGUAGCGGUGAAAUUCCAAUCGAGCCCGGAGAUAGCUGGUUCUCCCCGAAAUAGCUUUAGGGCUAGCCUCAAGGUGAGAGAUACGGAGGUAGAGCACUGAAUGUCCUAGGGGGUAUUGCACCUACCGAAGACUAUCAAACUCCGAAUGCCGUCAUCUUAUACUUGGGAGUCAGACUGUGGGUGAUAAGAUUCAUAGUCGAAAGGGCAACAGCCCAGAUCGUCAGCUAAGGUCCCUAAAUGUAAGUUAAGUGGUAAAGGAUGUGGGAUUGCACAGACAACCAGGAUGUUGGCUUAGAAGCAGCCACUCAUUCAAAGAGUGCGUAAUAGCUCACUGGUCGAGUGAUCCUGCGCCGAAGAUUUCCGGGGCUAAAACUUACUACCGAAGCUACGGCAUCAGUAAUGAUGGGUAGGGGAGCUUCCCAUACGGGUUGAAGCAUGACCGUAAGGACAUGUGGACAGUAUGGGAGUGAGAAUGUUGGCAUGAGUAGCGAGAUGUGGGUGAGAAUCCCACAGGCCGUAAACCCAAGGUUUCCAGGGGAAGGUUCGUCCGCCCUGGGUUAGUCGGGACCUAAGCUGAGGCCGAAAGGCGUAGGUGAUGGACAACAGGUUGAUAUUCCUGUACUACCGAUAACCGUUUGAGAGAAGGGAUGACACAGUAGGAUAAGCUAAGCACACUGUUGGUUAUGUGUGCCCAAGCAUUGAGGCAGUCAAAGUAGGCAAAUCCGCUUUGAUAAUGCUGGGAUGUGAUGGGGAGCGAAAUUUAGUAGCGAAGUAGCUGAUUUCACACUGUCAAGAAAAGUCUCUAUCGAGGUUAAAGGUACCCGUACCGCAAACCGACACAGGUGGGUGAGGAGAGUAUCCUAAGGCCAGCGAGAGAACUGUUGUUAAGGAACUCGGCAAAAUGACCCCGUAACUUAGGGAUAAGGGGUGCCACCAUCAGGUGGCCGCAGAGAAUAGGCCCAAGCGACUGUUUACCAAAAACAUAGGUUUCUGCUAAGUCGCAAGACGAUGUAUAGGAGCUGACGCCUGCCCGGUGCUGGAAGGUUAAGGGGAUCUGUUAGAGCAAUCGAAGCAGUGAACUUAAGCCCCAGUAAACGGCGGCCGUAACUAUAACGGUCCUAAGGUAGCGAAAUUCCUUGUCGGGUAAGUUCCGACCCGCACGAAAGGCGUAACGAUUUGGGCACUGUCUCAACAACAGACUCGGUGAAAUUGUAAUUCCGGUGAAGAUGCCGGAUACCUGCGACAGGACGGAAAGACCCCAUGGAGCUUUACUGUAGCUUGACAUUGGGUCUUGGUACUACAUGUACAGGAUAGGUGGGAGGCUUUGAAACCAGGACGCCAGUUUUGGCGGAGCCAUCCUUGGGAUACCACCCUUGUAGUACUGGGACUCUAACCAUAGGCCAUGAAUCUGGUCUUGGGACACUGUCA
rnacentral:rRNA from 1 species